GGUCUCGUAGCGCAGUAGGUUAGCGCGUUGGCUGAACUAAACCCUUGCUCUAACUGUCGUGGGUUCAACUCCUAUCGGGGCCG
rnacentral:tRNA from 1 species